rnacentral:rRNA from 1 species
GAUGAACGCUGGCGGCGUGCUUAACACAUGCAAGUCGAACGAAGCACUUUAUUUGAUUUCCUUCGGGACUGAUCAUUUUGUGACUGAGUGGCGGACGGGUGAGUAACGCGUGGGUAACCUGCCUUGUACAGGGGGAUAACAGUUGGAAACGGCUGCUAAUACCGCAUAAGCGCACAGCAUCGCAUGAUGCAGUGUGAAAAACUCCGGUGGUAUAAGAUGGACCCGCGUUGGAUUAGCUAGUUGGUGAGGUAACGGCCCACCAAGGCGACGAUCCAUAGCCGACCUGAUAGGGUGACCGGCCACAUUGGGACUGAGACACGGCCCAAACUCCUACGGGAGGCAGCAGUGGGGAAUAUUGCACAAUGGGCGAAAGCCUGAUGCAGCGACGCCGCGUGAGCGAAGAAGUAUUUCGGUAUGUAAAGCUCUAUCAGCAGGGAAGAUAAUGACGUUACCUGACUAAGAAGCACCGGCUAAAUACGU